rnacentral:tRNA from 1 species
AUUACUUUGGCAGAAUAAAUGCACUGGAUUUAGGAUUCAAUAAUAUGGGAUAUUAACCCAUAGGUAAUA